rnacentral:pre_miRNA from 1 species
GCGUUGUUCAUUUGGAUUCAUAUUCGAGACGAAGAUAUGGGUGACUAAUACUUAAGAUUUUGGUCAAUUUAAAUUACCAAUCUAAUUAUUUGUUACCCAUAUCUCCAUCUCCAAUUUAAUCUCUUAAAAGUCGU